AGUGAACGCUGGCGGUAGGCCUAACACAUGCAAGUCGAACGGCAGCACAGUAAGAGCUUGCUCUUACGGGUGGCGAGUGGCGGACGAGUGAGGAAUACAUCGGAAUCUACUUUUUCGUGGGGGAUAACGUAGGGAAACUUACGCUAAUACCGCAUACGACCUACGGGUGAAAGCAGGGGAUCUUCGGACCUUGCGCGAUUGAAUGAGCCGAUGUCGGAUUAGCUAGUUGGCGGGGUAAAGGCCCACCAAGGCGACGAUCCGUAGCUGGUCUGAGAGGAUGAUCAGCCACACUGGAACUGAGACGCGGUCCAGACUCCUACGGGAGGCAGCAGUGGGGAAUAUUGGACAAUGGGCGCAAGCCUGAUCCAGCCAUACCGCGUGGGUGAAGAAGGCCUUCGGGUUGUAAAGCCCUUUUGUUGGGAAAGAAAAGCAGCAGGUUAAUACCCCGCUGUUCUGACGGUACCCAAAGAAUAAGUACCGGCUAACUUCGUG
rnacentral:rRNA from 1 species